UAGCCAAAGGAUGCUAACAUAUUUGCGCAGUUUGCGUGCGGUUUUCGGAGCGAAAGGACGAAACAGCGGCAACGACAACAUUAACCGACGGAUACCAAUCAGCCUGCAAUAACUGCAAACAAUUGUGAACAGCAAAGUGUUUAUUGUGAUUUUAGCCACGUGAGAAUUUUGAACGGCUCUGCAAGGACCCUUGGAUUACCUUGCGGGCCAACGACCAAGAAAAUACAAGAAAAUAAUAACAGAAAAAACCGGCCAAGUGGAAAUUGAGCAAACCCAGCAAACGAACUCAUUGGAGAGCAAAGAAAAGGGCGCAAAG